rnacentral:tRNA from 1 species
CAAAAAGUAGUAUAUUUAAUACAACUUGCUUACACCAAGUUAAAGGUUCCAAACCCUUUUUGA